GGAAUAUUGGUCAAUGGGCGUGAGCCUGAACCAGCCAAGUAGCGUGCAGGAUGACGGCCCUAUGGGUUGUAAACUGCUUUUAUGCGGGGAUAAAGUGCGGCACGUGUGCCGUUUUGUAGGUACCGCAUGAAUAAGGACCGGCUAAUUCCGUGCCAGCAGCCGCGGUAAUACGGAAGGUCCGGGCGUUAUCCGGAUUUAUUGGGUUUAAAGGGAGCGCAGGCGGCCUUUUAAGCGUGACGUGAAAUGUAGGCGCUCAACGUCUGAAUUGCGUCGCGAACUGUUAGGCUUGAGUAGACGGAAUGUCGGCGGAAUUCGUGGUGUAGCGGUGAAAUGCUUAGAUAUCACGAAGAACUCCGAUUGCGCAGGCAGCCUUCCAGUCCGUUACUGACGCUAAAGCUCGAAGGUGCGGGUAUCGAACA
rnacentral:rRNA from 1 species